ACUAGCUGCGACAUCUAGUGACGACAUUUACCGGGCUUUAACGGUUGUAGCUGCAUGAAGUCUGCUGCAAUUUCUCUGAGAUUUCUCAAGAUCAUCAGUUUGGACAGAAUUCAUUUGAAGAAUUAAUAGCACUAGCAGGUUCCAAUAAAGGCUGGAACAGAACAGACAGAAAAGAAUCUGUCAGAAGAAAUUCAACUACUGUUCGUGCACCAGAUGGUGAAGUAGAAAAGUUCGUAAAAACUUCUGCAGCUUGCAUCUGACAGAGAUGCAAAAAGAAUAAGAGAGCGGGCCUGAAAACAAGCAAAUUCAAGGUAUUUCAAUUGUUGUUAAAGGGAUAGUUCAAUAGAUAUUCUUUCAUCAUUUACUCAUCCUCAUGUUGUUCUAAAUCUGCAUGAUUUUUUCUGAUGAACACAAAUUAAGAUGUUUUGCGUAAUGAUGGUAAAAACACAGCACAUUGUAACCAUUGACUUCCAUAGUAGGAAAAAGUAUUUUGA